rnacentral:rRNA from 1 species
CCUACGGGUGGCAGCAGUGAGGAAUAUUGGUCAAUGGACGAGAGUCUGAACCAGCGAAGUAGCGUGAAGGAUGACUGCCCUAUGGGUUGUAAACUUCGUUUAUAUGGGAAUAAAAUGUUCCACGUGUGGGAUUUUGUAUGUACGAUAUGAAUAAGGAUAGGCUAACUCCGGGCCAGCAGCCGCGGUAAUACGGAGGAUCCGAGCGUUAUCCGAAUUUAUUGGGUUUAAAGGGAGCGUAGGUGGAUUGUUAAGUCAGUUGUGAAAGUGUGCGGCUCAACCGUAAAAUUGCAGUGGAAACUGGCAGUUUUGAGUACAGUAGAGGUGGGCGGAAUUCGUGGUGUAGCGGUGAAAUGCUUAGAUAUCACGAAGAACUCCGAUGGCGAAGGCAGCUCACUGGACUGAAACUGACACUGAGGCUCGAAAGUGUGGGUAUCAAACAGGAUUAGAUACCCUGGUAGUC